rnacentral:rRNA from 1 species
GGGGGUCGAGAGGCUCCUGUGUAAUCCUGGGUCUGGCCAAACCUUGUAAGCGUACACUGCAACCAGUUAGACGAUCAGCAGUGGGCACAGUGUUUGAGUUCAGCCAGCAAUGGACGGGCUCUUAUACGAAGCAAUUGUUUGAUUGGGUUAGUAGUAGCGCGGUUGUGCCUCGGUGCUUCUCGUGUUGCUGGGCCCUUUCAAGUGAACUACAGCUGAAUACUGACUGGCGAAAUGAAAAUCGCCUUAUGGGCGUUAGAGACAAAGCAGCUAGCCGCAUGCGGGCCUACACAUUCGACUGUUGGGUCUAAGCUUGGCGCUAUUGAAUUCAGACUUGCUUGCUACCAGUGGGGCAACUCCUGGUGCUUGUAUAGCUUCUGUCUAAUCGGGCGUCGACUUGGCCUAUCAUCGUUCGGGUGUGCUACGAUAGGGCUUGUAUGUGAGUUGGUUCGCAAUGUUAAU